UUUGAAAAUUAACAGGAAUUUCCAUUAGUUUUAUUUUAUAAGGUCAAAUGGCUUCUUUAAAUUCAUACUGUGAUAUUGUGUCUAGCCUGGCACAUUUCUCUACUGUAGUUCUUUUUCUGAAUUUUUAAACCCCUUUGUGAUUUCACAGAGUUAGUAAUUAUGUUGGGAUGUUGGGGCGUGGACUGGAUGUAGCUAAACAUACUCAGAUUUGACUCACAUUCAAAUGUACUCAAACAUUCAAAUUUAAUGUUGUCUGCCAAAGCAAA
rnacentral:lncRNA from 1 species